UACGUAGGGUGCGAGCGUUAAUCGGAAUUACUGGGCGUAAAGCGUGCGCAGGCGGUUCGUUAAGUCAGAUGUGAAAGCCCCGGGCUCAACCUGGGAACUGCAUUUGAAACUGGCGGGCUUGAGUGUGGCAGAGGGGGGUGGAAUUCCGCGUGUAGCAGUGAAAUGCGUAGAGAUGCGGAGGAACACCGAUGGCGAAGGCAGCCCCCUGGGCCAAUACUGACGCUCAUGCACGAAAGCGUGGGGAGCAAACAGG
rnacentral:rRNA from 1 species